UGGAAGUCUGCCUGUAGAUCAGCAAUAGGCAAGGUACAGGUGCUGCAUGCCCCAGUACACAGGGCCCACAGACCACCAGGGAUCUCUCAGGCACCAGUGGGAGUCUCAGAAAAGCACCAAGGCUCUGCUCCACCUGGCAGCAAGGCCAGAGGAGAAUUUGGCAAGGGUGAACAAGCAUCCCACAGGCAGGAUUUCCCUCAGCCACCUGGGAGGGACGGCUAGAGACAAGCUAGAAGAUGACACCAUCAUUCUGAAGUCAUCUCCACUGAGUGCAACUCCCAUGACAGGAGCAAUAUUCAGUUAUCAUUCCUCAGUGUGCACUCCUCCCUUUCUUGUGUCCCUGCACGAGCAGUGGUGCAAUUGCAUGUUGAAUAGGACUGAUGGACAAACUUGGACCAAAAAUGAUGCAGCAAUAAAGUCUAUCUAUACAGGCACAAUGCGAUCCCUCCUCCUGUGGCCAUCCCCACCACCUCAGUGCAGUGCUGGAGAUGCAGCCCUCACCCAAGGUCAUACCCACAGAGGGCAGAAGGACACAAUAGGAGAUUCAAACUCCAAACCCCACUAGGCAGUGCAACACAGUGGAAAUAUGCAGCUUUUGUGCUCGGCUGGGAAAAGAAGAAAUGUUCAAUUGUUUCUGAACCCUUGUACUGCAGAACAUUCUGUCCCACGGCACAUGUUGAUAUUUUGACUUCUUGUCCCAAAGUGGAUGGAAAUUCCAACCUUUAUUCAGCUCCUCCUGCACCCUCUAGCUACUGCUAUAAUAGAAGAAAACCAGUUACAGUGAAAGAGCUCUU
rnacentral:lncRNA from 1 species